GACGUAGGGCGCGAGCGUUGUCCGGAUUUAUUGGGCGUAAAGAGCUCGUAGGCGGUGUGUCGCGUCGGAUGUGAAAGCCCGGGGCUUAACCCCGGGUCUGCAUUCGAUACGGGCAGACUGGAGUGUGGUAGGGGAGAUCGGAAUUCCUGGUGUAGCGGUGAAAUGCGCAGAUAUCAGGAGGAACACCGGUGGCGAAGGCGGAUCUCUGGGCCUUACCUGACGCUCAGGUGCGAAAGCUAGGGUAGCGAACAGG
rnacentral:rRNA from 1 species